rnacentral:lncRNA from 1 species
AUGAGCGCAAAGAUCCCAGAAGUCAAGAGAGUGACGCAGGGCCUGUCCAAUCACCGCCGUUGGCUGGGGGUAGGCGUGACUGUCUUGUACAUUGGUGAAGUUACCGCCCUCAUCGUGAGUGAAGCGACACUAGGCCAAUCACCACGGAUUUACCGGUCUCAGCUGAGCGUCGAAGCUUUUGUCCAAUCGGCGCCGAGAUUUCGGCAGGAGGCGGGAGGGAUACGGCUCUCGUCCAAUCACAAUUUUAAUUCCAAGACUUUACUGAAUUACGGCGGGAGGUGA